rnacentral:rRNA from 1 species
UACGGAGGGUGCAAGCGUUGUUCGGAAUUACUGGGCGUAAAGCGCGCGUAGGCGGGCUGUUAAGUCGGAGGUGAAAGCCCUGGGCUCAACCCCGGAACUGCAUUCGAUACUGGCAGCCUAGAGUAUGGGAGAGGUGAGUGGAAUGCCGAGUGUAGAGGUGAAAUUCGUAGAUAUUCGGCGGAACACCCGUGGCGAAGGCGGCUCACUGGCCCGAUACUGACGCUGAGGUGCGAAAGCGUGGGGAGCAAACAGG